rnacentral:rRNA from 1 species
UACGUAGGGUGCAAGCGUUGUCCGGAAUUAUUGGGCGUAAAGGGCUCGUAGGCGGUUUGUCACGUCGGGAGUGAAAACUCGGGGCUUAACCCCGAGCCUGCUUCCGAUACGGGCAAACUAGAGGUAUGCAGGGGAGAACGGAAUUCCUGGUGUAGCGGUGAAAUGCGCAGAUAUCAGGAGGAACACCAACAGCGAAGGCAGAUCUCUGGGACGUUACUGACGCUGAGACGCGAAAGCGUGGGGAGCAAACAGG